GAAAUAUGGAAUACGAGAAAAAGCUUCUAACUUGAUUCUCUAGCGGUGAAAUUCCGUUAAUAUUUCU
rnacentral:tRNA from 2 species